UAGGGAAUCUUCCGCAAUGGACGCAAGUCUGACGGAGCAACGCCGCGUGAGUGAAGAAGGAUUUCGGUUCGUAAAACUCUGUUGUUAGAGAAGAACAGCGCAUAGAGUAACUGUUAUGCGUGUGACGGUAUCUAACCAGAAAGGGACGGCUAACUACGUGCCAGCAGCCGCGGUAAUACGUAGGUCCCGAGCGUUGUCCGGAUUUAUUGGGCGUAAAGCGAGCGCAGGCGGUUAGAUGAGUCUGAAGUUAAAGGCAGUGGCUCAACCAUUGUAGGCUUUGGAAACUGUUUAACUUGAGUGCAGAAGGGGAGAGUGGAAUUCCAUGUGUAGCGGUGAAAUGCGUAGAUAUAUGGAGGAACACCGGUGGCGAAAGCGGCUCUCUGGUCUGUAACUGACGCUGAGGCUCGAAAGCGUGGGGAGCGAACAGG
rnacentral:rRNA from 1 species